rnacentral:tRNA from 1 species
GGGGAUGUGGCUCAAGCGGUAGCUCGCUCGCCUGGCAUGUGUGCAGCCUGUGUUCAAUCCUCAGCACCACA